rnacentral:rRNA from 1 species
AACGUAGGGGGCGAGCGUUAUCCGGAUUUACUGGGCGUAAAGCGUGCGCAGGCGGUCUGUUAAGACAGAUGUGAAAUCCCCGGGCUUAACCUGGGAACUGCAUUGGUGACUGGCAGGCUUUGAGUGUGGCAGAGGGAGGUAGAAUUCCACGUGUAGCAGUGAAAUGCGUAGGGAUGUGGAGGAAUACCGAUGGCGAAGGCAGCCUCCUGGGCCAACACUGACGCUCAUGCACGAAAGCGUGGGGAGCAAACAGG